UACGUAGGCAGCGAGCGUUGUUCGGAGUUACUGGGCGUAAAGCGCGCGCAGGCGGCUAUCCAAGUCAGUGGUGAAAGCCCGGAGCUCAACUCCGGAACUGCCAUUGAAACUGUUUAGCUUGAGGAUGAGAGAGGUGAGUGGAAUUCCCAGUGUAGAGGUGAAAUUCGUAGAUAUUGGGAAGAACACCGGUGGCGAAGGCGGCUUGCCAGAACGCGCUCGACGGUGAGGGAUGAAAGCUGGGGGAGCAAACCGG
rnacentral:rRNA from 1 species